rnacentral:rRNA from 1 species
AUUGAACGCUGGCGGAAUGCUUUACACAUGCAAGUCGAACGGUAGAGGGGGCAACCCCUUGAGAGUGGCGAACGGGUGAGUAAUAUAUCGGAACGUGCCCAGUCGUGGGGAUAACGUAGCGAAAGUUACGCUAAUACCGCAUACGAUCUAAGGAUGAAAGCGGGGGAUCGCAAGACCUCGCGCGAUUGGAGCGGCCGAUAUCAGAUUAGGUAGUUGGUGAGGUAAAGGCUCACCAAGCCAACGAUCUGUAGCUGGUCUGAGAGGACGACCAGCCACACUGGAACUGAGACACGGUCCAGACUCCUACGGGAGGCAGCAGUGGGGAAUUUUGGACAAUGGACGCAAGUCUGAUCCAGCCAUUCCGCGUGCAGGAUGAAGGCCCUCGGGUUGUAAACUGCUUUGUACGGAACGAAAGGUUUCUAUUAAUACUAGGAGCUCAUGACGGUACCGUAAGAAUAAGCACCGGCUGACUACGUGCCAGCAGCCGCGGU